rnacentral:rRNA from 1 species
UACAGAGGUGGCAAGCGUUGUUCGGAAUUACUGGGCGUAAAGGGCGUGUAGGCGGCUUCUUAAGUCAGACGUGAAAUCCCCAGGCUCAACCUGGGAACUGCGUCUGAUACUGGAUGGCUUGAAUCCGGGAGAGGGAUGCAGAAUUCCAGGUGUAGCGGUGAAAUGCGUAGAUAUCUGGAGGAAUACCGGUGGCGAAGGCGGCAUCCUGGACCGGCAUUGACGCUGAGGAGCGAAAGCCAGGGGAGCAAACGGG